UACGUAGGGUGCGAGCGUUAGUCGGAAUUACUGGGCGUAAAGCGUGCGCAGGCGGUUUUGCAAGCCCGAUGUGAAAUCCCCGGGCUCAACCUGGGAAUGGCAUUCGGGACUGCAAGGCUGGAGUGCGGCAGAGGAGACUGGAAUUCCUGGUGUAGAGGUGAAAUUCGUAGAGAUCGGGAGGAACACCAGUGGCGAAGGCGACUAUCUGGCUGACAACUGACGCUGAGACUCGAAAGCAUGGGGAGCAAACAGG
rnacentral:rRNA from 1 species